CUUAACACAUGCAAGUCGAACGCCCCGCAAGGGGAGUGGCAGACGGGUGAGUAACGCGUGGGAACAUACCCUUUCCUGCGGAAUAGCUCCGGGAAACUGGAAUUAAUACCGCAUACGCCCUACGGGGGAAAGAUUUAUCGGGGAAGGAUUGGCCCGCGUUGGAUUASCUAGUUGGUGGGGUAAAGGCCUACCAAGGCGACGAUCCAUAGCUGGUCUGAGAGGAUGAUCAGCCACAUUGGGACUGAGACACGGCCCAAACUCCUACGGGAGGCAGCAGUGGGGAAUAUUGGACAAUGGGCGCAAGCCUGAUCCAGCCAUGCCGCGUGAGUGAUGAAGGCCUUAGGGUUGUAAAGCUCUUUCACCGGAGAAGAUNAUGACGGUAUCCGGAGAAGAAGCCCC
rnacentral:rRNA from 1 species